UGCUCCAUCUAAAAGAGAUAGCUGAGCGGAUGUGUAAGAAAUCCAGGAGACGUUGUUGUCGCAUCAAGGAGGGACGAUGGUGGCGCCAUCCAAUCAGGACACGUUACAUCUCAAUUUCACAUUUCAAUGAUUAUUGCAGCUGUUUCUCUCUAACCCAUCCUCUCUCUCUCUCUUCUUUUACCAGAACGGUGCAUUUUGGGUAUCUGUGUGUGACUGGUUAGAGGAACUCCACUGAGGUGCCGCCCUUGUUGAUCCACACAGCUGUAUGAGAAGUGUAGAACAUGGAUGACCAGGAUCAACAAGACUUAAAAUCUUAUACAAUUAAAUGUAAAAUAAAUAAACUCACUGAAUA